rnacentral:rRNA from 1 species
GAUGAACGCUAGCGGCAGGCUUAAUACAUGCAAGUUGAGGGGCAGCAUGAUAUACGCGAGUAUAUUGAUGGCGACCGGCGGACGGGUGAGUAAUAGGUAGGAGACCUACCUCAUACAGGGGGAUAGCAUAGAGAAAUCUGUGGUAAUACCCCAUGAGGUUAUAUGAAUAGAGGCAUAUAAUCAAAGCAUAAGCGAUUAUGCGGUAUGAGAGGGGCCUACUGACCAUUAGCUAGUUGGUGAGGUAAGGGCUCACCAAGGCGAAGAUGGUUAGGGGUUUUGAGAGAGAGACCCCCCACAUUGGAACUGAGAGACGGUCCAGACUCCUACGGGAGGCAGCAGUAGGGAAUAUUGGGCAAUGGGCGAAAGCCUGACCCAGCCAUGCCGCGUGAAGGAAGACGGCCUUAUGGGUUGUAAACUUCUUUACUACGCGAAUAGAGGUUAGUACGAGAUACUAAUAGGAAGGUAGUGUAGUAAAAGCAACCGGCUAACUCCGUG